AGGAUUAUAGUUUAAUAAAAACUUUUGAUUUGCAUUCAGAUAAUAUUGAUAUUCAAUUUUUCUUA
rnacentral:tRNA from 1 species